CAGCUGCAUCUCAUCUCUGUAAUCAAGCCUCUACAAAUACUCAGCCCUGCCACUUCCACUCUGCCAGAACGUAGAGUCUGCUACUAUACUGCCUGUUCUUACUCCGGUCCCCGUUUCCUGCGCCUCAUCUGGUCAAGCCCUGCUGCUCUGCCCUAAGCCCUGCUGCUCUGCCCCGGAGCCCUGCAUUACUCAGUCUCCUCGGAUCUCAUUCUGGACCUGCUUCCUUGGCUCCUAACUGCCUCUGCCCUAGCCUCAGUUCCUGGCUCUCAGCUACCAGUUCAAGUUUCCCUUAGCCUCCAGCCUAUCUUCCCCCUGCUCUGCAAUAAACAUCUUUUUAACUUA